AACGCGAAGAACCUUACCUGGCCUUGACAUGUCUGGAAUUCUGCAGAGAUGCGGGAGUGCCUUCGGGAAUCAGAACACAGGUGCUGCAUGGCUGUCGUCAGCUCGUGUCGUGAGAUGUUGGGUUAAGUCCCGCAACGAGCGCAACCCUUGUCCUUAGUUGCCACCCCUUAACUGGGAGCACUCUGGACAGACUGCCUCGCUUCAACGAGGAGGAAGGUGGGGAUGACGUCAAGUCAGUAUGGCCCUUACGGCCAGGGCUGCACACGUACUACAAUGCCCGGUACAAAGGGAAGCAAGACCGCAAGGUGGAGCAAAUCCCCCAAAACCGGGCCCAGUUCAGAUUGUUGUCUGCAACUCGACAGCAUGAAGCUGGAAUCGCUAGUAAUGGCGCAUCAGCUACGGCGCCGUGAAUACGUUCCCGGGCCUUGUACACACCGAGACGUA
rnacentral:rRNA from 1 species